rnacentral:misc_RNA from 1 species
AUCUCUCUCUUUCUCUCUCUCCCUCCCUCCCUCCCUCUCUCUCUCUCUCUCUCUCUCUCUCAAUAUUUUCUUUACAAUCCAAAGGGAUGGGGUGAUAGUUCUUUCAGUGUACAUCUCUGACUGCUGGCAGCUGAAAACCGCGCCAGCUGAGAGACACAAGUAUUAACCUCAGGAGAAGAGGCUAAGGUUAUCUCCAUAUUAGCCACACGUGACCCAGCCGUUGAUAAGGAAUCAAGAAAGGUGUCCUCUCCUUACUGCACCGUACACUGAGCUAAUGGAGGAGGUGCAGCCACUGUCAAGCUUGAAGGAGUUGAUGGAGUGGUCGAUGCCAUGUCUAACAAGUAAUAUUCAUAGAGAGAGGCUGAGGGCCCGACCACCCUCCUCACACCUGAGGACACUGGUGUGCCAUGACAUGAAGGGCGGCUACCUGGAUGACAGGUUUGUGUCUGGCACUAGUAACAAGGAUGCCUACCGCUUCUACCAUUGGUCUGGGGUGGACACGUUUAUUUACUUCAGUCACCAUCUGGUCACCAUUCCUCCUCUGGGCUGGAUCAAUGCUGCUCACCUGCACGGAGUCCCAGUUCUUGGGACUUUCAUCACUGAGUGGGAAGCAGGCAGUGCUGUGUGCAAGGACCUCCUUAACGAUGUCAAAACAGUGACACAGGUAGUGCAGAAGCUGGUGAACAUUGCCAAGUAUUACGGCUUUGAUGGGUGGCUCAUCAAUAUUGAGAAUGAAGUGCCCAUAGAUAAGGUUCCACUCAUGCUGAUGUUUGUGGAGAAGCUGACUGUAGCCAUGAGGAAUGUAAGGUAUGACAAAAACUGUCACCAUCGUGUCAUCUGGUAUGACAGCGUGACAAAAAAUGGGGAAUUGAAAUGGCAGAAUGAACUCAAUUCCCAGAACUAUGCCUUCUUUUUUGCCUGUGACGGAAUCUUUCUCAACUACACCUGGACAGAAGAUCACCUGGUCCGCAGCAGGAAGGCAGCGGGUAGCCGGCACAGGAACAUCUUUGUGGGCCUUGACGUCUUUGGGAGGAACUUUUAUGCUGGAGGGAAAUAUGACACUUGGAAGGCAAUGGAAGUAGUGCGUAAACAUGACCUCUCAGCUGCUAUCUUUGCUCCGGGGUGGACGUACGAGACACAGCCAGACUUCAUAGAGGCAGAGAGGCGCCUGUGGGAGUCUCUGUCACCCUUUCUUACUCACCAAGGAAUUGAGGACCUCCCAUUCACCACCUCCUUCUGUCAAGGAUUUGGGGAGCAUCUCUUUAUCAAGGGGAAGGUGGAGAAGGAAGGACCUUGGCACAACCUGAGUCAACAGCACCUGCAGCCUCUCUGGUCCCAGAAUUUUAGAGCUUGCAUGUGAAAAGGGUGAGGAAAAUGAUGAUGAGACUCAGGGAGAUGCACAUGAAGAGAAGGAAGUCAUUAGGUGCUGCCUAGAGACCAGCCAUGUGGAAAAUGGAUGGAAUAUCAGGAGUUUCGCAACCUUGGGAAU